UACGUAGGGUGCAAGCGUUGUCCGGAAUUAUUGGGCGUAAAGAGCUUGUAGGCGGUUUGUCGCGUCUGCUGUGAAAUUUCGGGGCUCAACCCCGAACUUGCAGUGGGUACGGGCAGACUAGAGUGUGGUAGGGGAGACUGGAAUUCCUGGUGUAGCGGUGAAAUGCGCAGAUAUCAGGAGGAACACCAGCGGCGAAGGCGGCGCUCUGGGCCGGAACUGACGCUGAGGAGCGAAAGCGUGGGUAGCAAACAGG
rnacentral:rRNA from 1 species